rnacentral:tRNA from 1 species
AUGUCGGUGGCUCAGGUGUUAAGCACUUGACUUGCAAUCUACAGGUCGUGGGUUCGAAUCCCGCCUUGUACC